AUAUUGGACAAUGGGCGCAAGCCUGAUCCAGCAAUGCCGCGUGAGUGAUGAAGGCCCUAGGGUUGUAAAGCUCUUUUACCCGGGAAGAUAAUGACUGUACCGGGAGAAUAAGCCCCGGCUAACUCCGUGCCAGCAGCCGCGGUAAUACGGAGGGGGCUAGCGUUGUUCGGAAUUACUGGGCGUAAAGCGCACGUAGGCGGCUUUGUAAGUCAGAGGUGAAAGCCUGGAGCUCAACUCCAGAACUGCCUUUGAGACUGCAUCGCUUGAAUCCAGGAGAGGUCAGUGGAAUUCCGAGUGUAGAGGUGAAAUUCGUAGAUAUUCGGAAGAACACCAGUGGCGAAGGCGGCUGACUGGACUGGUAUUGACGCUGAGGUGCGAAAGCGUGGGGAGCAAACAGG
rnacentral:rRNA from 1 species